rnacentral:rRNA from 1 species
CAGAGAUGGAUUGGUGCCUUCGGGAACUCUGAGACAGGUGCUGCAUGGCUGUCGUCAGCUCGUGUUGUGAAAUGUUGGGUUAAGUCCCGCAACGAGCGCAACCCUUAUCCUUUGUUGCCAGCGGUUAGGCCGGGAACUCAAAGGAGACUGCCAGUGAUAAACUGGAGGAAGGUGGGGAUGACGUCAAGUCAUCAUGGCCCUUACGAGUAGGGCUACACACGUGCUACAAUGGCGCAUACAAAGAGAAGCGACCUCGCGAGAGCAAGCGGACCUCAUAAAGUGCGUCGUAGUCCGGAUUGGAGUCUGCAACUCGACUCCAUGAAGUCGGAAUCGCU